AUGCACGCUGGCGGCGUGCCUAAUACAUGCAAGUCGCGCGAACAGACGAGGAGCUUGCUCCUCUGACGUUAGCGGCGGACGGGUGAGUAACACGUGGAUAACCUACCUAUAAGAGUGGGAUAACUUCGGGAAACCGGAGCUAAUACCGGAUAAUAUAUUGAACCGCAUGGUUCAAUAGUGAAAGACGGUUUUGCUGUCACUUAUAGAUGGAUCCGCGCCGCAUUAGCUAGUUGGUAAGGUAACGGCUUACCAAGGCGACGAUGCGUAGCCGACCUGAGAGGGUGAUCGGCCACACUGGAACUGAGACACGGUCCAGACUCCUACGGGAGGCAGCAGUAGGGAAUCUUCCGCAAUGGGCGAAAGCCUGACGGAGCAACGCCGCGUGAGUGAUGAAGGUCUUCGGAUCGUAAAACUCUGUUAUUAGGGAAGAACAAAUGUGUAAGUAACUAUGCACGUCUUGACGGUACCUAAUCAGAAAGCCACGGCUAACUACGUG
rnacentral:rRNA from 1 species